UAGUCAUAUGCUUGUCCUAAAGAUUAAGCCAUGCAUGUGUACGUUCAAGCCCUUGUACGGUGAAACUGCGGAUGGCUCAUUAUAUCAGUGAUAAUUUGGUUGGUGGAGAGAUAUCGUGGAUAACCGUGGUAAUUCCAGAGCUAAUACAUGCGGAGUAGACGCAAGUCUAGCAUUUAUUAGAUAAAGCCUUGGCAUGGGCACAUUUUUGUGCCUUUGCGUGGUGAGUAAUGAUAACUGAGCGGAUCGCACGGUGUGCGACGCACCAAGGAAAUUUCUGCCCUAUCAACUGUGGAUGGUAGGAUAGGGGCCUACCAUGGUGGCGACGGGUGACGGGGAAUCAGGGUUCGAUUCCGGAGAGGGAGCCUGAGAGAUGGCUACCACUUCCAAGGAAGGCAGCAGGCGCGCAAAUUACCCAAUCCCUACGCGGGGAGGUAGUGACAGGACAUGACGGGGCGGGGCGCUAGGCGCUCUGCGACUGGGUUGAGGAAAGGAUAAAGCGAUUGACGAGAAACGAUU
rnacentral:rRNA from 1 species